ensembl:lncRNA
AUUCUGAGUGAGUCUGUGAUGGUGUUUUUGGACAAGAUUAACAUUUGAUUGAUGGAUGGUGAGUAGAGCAGAGGGCCCUCAGUCAUGUGAGCGGGGCCUCCUCCAAUCAGCUGCAGGCCUGAGUAGAACAAAAGACAACCCCCACCCCCAGUGAAAGAGAAUACCUCUCACCUGAAGUCUUCAAACUGGAACAUGAGCUCCUCUUGGUUCUACGUAGCUUCCAGCCUUUGGACCUGACCUAGGACAGUGGGUCUGCAAAUUUUGGGCUUGACAGCCUCCAGCUGGUGGAAAGAGGUACAGGCCCUGGGAGCAGGACAAGAGUGCCUGACCAGUGAGGGUCAGGGCGAAGCAGGGAGGAGGUCAGCCUGUGGUCCCCGAGAGGGUCCAGGCUGGAUACUGAUCCUUGUCGCUGUUGACCAAAGCAGAGGGCAGGCUGUGUGCCACGUGGCAGGGGGAUCCCCAGGGGUGCAGCGGGCAGCAGAACCAAGUGUCUCAAAGGGACUCACUGCUGCUGCUGCUGCUGCUGAGUCGCUUCAGUCGUGCCCGACUCUGUGCGACCCCAUAGACAUCAGCCCACCAGGCUCCCCCGUCCCUGGGAUUUUGCAGGCAGGCAUACUGGAGUGAGCUGCCAUUGCCUUCUCUGAGUGACUCACUAUUUCUUGCAAAAUCUACAAUUAGUCUUUAUCAUCUUAUCACCGACACCAGUGUCACAAAAUCAGGUGACAGAUAAGUGCAUAAUACAAUCUGAUUUGGCAGAGAACUCACUCAUAUCAUUCUAAAUGAAUAAAACCUCCCCAUAAAUGUCUAUUGUUUACAAGGCAAAGUGAACCAACAAAGAUGUAUGUCACUCAUUUGUCAAUGAGGUAAGCAACUUCUUUGCUGAAGCAGAUAACAGUUUGCAAAUACUGGAAGAAUAUUUGCUCAGUUUUUGAGCUAUUUGCAGUGUAAUCGUUACAGGCACAGCCCUCUUUUACAUUUAGUCUGCAUUAUUAACAUGUUUGUCGUAUUUUCUCAAAUCUAGACAAUCAUGCAAAUAAUAGAUCACCCCCUGGUUUGCCGUGUUUGUGUAAAUACUCCCAGCCCAGCCAAUUUCAAGCUCCUGAAAUGUUAUCAUAAAGAAGUGACACCCAAGCUUGUUUGUGAAGGAC